CCAUGGCCAAAGUGGAAGUUGAAUUGCAUUUCACUUCUAGAAUAUGCAGAAUCAAUCUAUAUAAAGUACUUUCUCAAUGAUUUUUCCACCGCAUUUUACUUCUGGAAUAUGCAGAAACAAUCAACAUAAAGUACUCUCUAAAUGAUUUAUGCACCAAAAAAGCUCAUCUGCAAACACCUAAAGAUAAUACUUCAACAUUAAGUUGGGUUUGUGGAACGUGUCCGCAGGUAUACGGAAUCGCACAAGUAAUAAAGAGUGAGUAAAAUAUAGUUCCCACAACGAUUGUCUUUAAUUACCAAAAUUUAUGUUAAUUUUUCUAAUAUCUAGACUAUCAAAUUGAAUUAAAUUCAAGAAAUUAAAAUUGAACUAAAAAUAAAAUUAACUACAAUUAAGAAAUUAACUAGAAAGAGCAAAUAAAACUUUGGGAUUAAAACCAAGUAAAAAAAAUGGCUAGGGAUAUUGAUUUCACUUAACCUAAUAGUUAAUCUCAAUUAAUUUUGUCUAAUAAUCAAAUUUAACUACUCUUGCAAGGGUUAAUAAUAAAAAAAAUUUUAAAAUCCCUCCCGAGCAUUAUCAAACCUUCUAGUUAAUGAAUUAACUCCUAUUUUCUAAUAGUGUGUUACAUACUAUAGAAGAAAGUAUAAUAGUAAUAGGAAGGGAAAUAUUGGCGGGAAAGGAAGCUAG
rnacentral:misc_RNA from 1 species